GUGGCAGUUUAAGGUGCCAACUACGCCCUGGAGGGUGGGCAGGAAACUUGCUCCUUUUCAGACUAGAGAAGGGAAAAUGGGAAUGGAGAAAGAAUGAACAGGUCCCUCCCUGGAUCUCCAGCCCAAGCCUUCCCUGGGGAGAUCAAACCCUCUGUCUGUCCCUGUCCCCUCAAGCUCUUACCAGGCCACCCGCAGACAGGGAUUGUGCUGCACUCACGAUGGCUAUGGACAAUAUCUCUGGUCCUUAGCCCAUGCGUGCCCAGAGACACUUUCCAUCCUGGGCCAUGAACCCCAAGGCAAAGAUACCAGAUUUGCACGAAGGAGACUAGAAGGCAUCUUGGUUAGCCAAUCACUAUGUUCUCCAGUUAGAACUGGAUGGACUGGGGAGGAUGAAAGGGAAGCAAGGAUGCACGUCUCUUCAUGGACAUCCUCAGUGCUUUGCUCAUUCGGCCUUGCCCUCAGAAGACAUUGUUUAACUGCUGCUCUGGACCACACAUCUGAUCCCCACAUCCUGGGGAUGGGAAAAGAGGCAUCCAUAGAAGUUGACUUGUGCACAAGGAGAAAUCUGUCCCGAAGGCCACGAGAGGAGAGUCAAGGAAUCCAGUAAGGAGCAGACAGGAAGGAACUGUGCCACUCCGAUGAGAAUAGAGGAGCCAGAGGCGGUGACUACAUCCCACAGCGCCUUAGUCAGCAGUGUCUUCUGGCAUCUUCUGGGUGUCCUUGAGACUCUCAGACCUCACUCAGCUCUUGCAGAACCAGGCCACAGAGGACCAUUUUGCUAUUCCGUGAGCAUGGCCUUUUGACCAGGUGGCUUCAGAGAAUGAGCCUGUCUGCUCCUCUCCACCCUCUGAUGGGCUCCCCUGGGACAGCGAUGGAGAGCCCCUCCCUCUUUGAGGAAGUCAGUGCUAUGAGGUGCAACAGGACACCUGGGGCCCGGUGACAGUGACUCACUCUGUGCCCUCUGGGUUGCCUGGAUGCAGGCCUCCUGCAAGGAGCCAGUUUCUGCACUGGCCCAGAGCCAAUCCGUGCAGGGAAAGAAGCCCAUCUCCACGUGGGCCACAGUGUUCUUCUGGAUGCUUCCUUUAAUGUGACAGAAGUGAGUCAUUUUUCACCUGACACCUGUGGCUCCUACUGGAUUGUAAGCUCCUUGAGGACCCACUUCUCAUUUCUGACUGAAUCCCGAGGGCGCAUAGAGACCAGAAAGACUGAGCGACAGGAUGUGAGGAGCAAGGCCUGAGCAGGGCCGUCCGCGGAGAAGCAUGCUGUCUCUGGAAAGGACAUCUGAGAACAAACGGCACCAUUUGGGAAGGUAGGAGGAUGGUUCCCCUUGGCCACCCACCCACAAAGGCUCUUCUGGGAGAGAAUGAAGCUCUUGCAUGCAGGUGACACGGGGAUCCCCGAGAUGGAGUAGCAGGGUGCAAGAGUGCCAUCUUUCCAGAAAUGAAAACAGCCUGCUAGCCACUCGGCAUCAUGUCUUCCUGCCCUGGGCCACUGCUGAGCUCCCUCCUUCCCAUUGUGGAUGAGCAUCUACAACACAGACUGGACCUGCAGCUGCGUCUGUGCACAGCUGUGGGGAAUGGAGACAAAGUGGGCGUAGGAGCAAGGGACAGGGCAGCUGUGGCCAGAGUGUGCCCACUAACCAAGGAAUUGUCAUUUUGCGUUUUCGAUACUUACCACAUCUCAUACUCGAGCAAAGCAUGAAGGCGAAGGUGAGUGCGUAUUAUGAAGUUUUCCAGUCUCCCGGCCCUCCCCGUCUCUUUAUUCAUCUGGUUGUCAGGUUUUCAAGAUGACUGUAGUGGGAGGUUGUGAGCUUGAACAACCAGACGUGCAUAUGAUGCUUGGCCCCGGCUAUGCUCACCUUUCCCACGAGAGUCUGCGCCAGUGUCCUCAGUUGGGUUCUGUUAGCUGCAUAGUGCGUCCCCAUGUUGCUUGGGAAAAUGCCCGUAGUGUUUAAAGAGCCAGGCUCCAGCCUUUGGGGAAAGCCUUUUGUUGUGGCAGGAACAAAGAGCAUUGAGGCAUAUUGAUGAGACAUGAAGGAAUGGUCACCACUAACCACACUGCAGUUCCACACAUAUGCUUGGUCCCUUCAAGACUGAGUACAAAGGUAAAAUGCAAACUAGACUUUGAAGAUUUAAUGUUAAAAUGUAAACCAUCUUAUUUAAUACUGUUUUUAAACACUUAUUUCAAGUUAAAUCAUAUUUUAAAUAUACCAGCUAUGUAAAAUAUGCGACAAGCUGGGGACUGGCGAGAUGGCUCAGUGGUUAAGAGCACUGGCAGCUCACAACUGCCUGUGACUCCAGUCCCAAGGGAUCUGACACCUUCACACCAAGGCACGUGAAGUAAAGUUAAGUAAAUUAUUAUUUUUUAAAUGUGACAAAUCAAUUUCACCCAUUUUUUUUCUUACUUUUGUAAUAUGUGGCAUUUAGACCAUUUGAA